UGCAUCUGUUCCUAAUAUUGUUUAUUUAUUUUUCUUCAACAGGAAAUGGAUGGCUGCAGAUCCUUCUGCCACUUGUGAUUGUACCAUCAGUGCUCCUACUUGCUGUGUGCAUUUGGAAAAGUGAAUGCGUGAAGAAUUCAUUGAAAAUCCCCCAUCCUGAUGCAGCUCUUUUAAAGAUUCCACAGGUGAAGUCCGGACCCAUGGAAAUAAGCGACACCCCUCCCAGCAAACUACAGCUGAUAGGAAAGUGUCCAGGUCCUGUCUGCAAGCAGCCUCCACUUCCAAUUUUUGUGGAAAAUUGGAGCUACUUUAACCCGCACGGUUGCGAGACUCUACCAUCACAAAAGGCAGCAAGCAAGAAGCCCAACUUACCUCUGACAUCUUACCAGCCGCUCAAGCGCUUUGGUUUUGGAAGCACCGCUAUCAGCCACCCGCCAGAAACGAGUGAAGGUGAUUUAGACUCUCCCUCUCAAACAGAAGUGUCUCUCGGUGUGGGUUCUGUUGAACCCAGGCAGCUAUCGGUUUACAAACCCCAGCUGUCCCAAGAGUCCAGAGCAAACACACCUGAUGCAUCUGAUGAUGAAAUGGCGCGUUUAACUGCUAUACACUGUUGAGCUCUGUACAGGAGCGGCUUCUAGAUCAACAUCCUAGUCUCUGAAGCCGGACAGGUGGAUGCGGUUUAGUCCUGCUGGCCACAUGACCCGGAAAGCUGUCUGUGGACAAACACCAGCUCCCUUGGCCUGAAAGCGAGAUGAGCACCUCAAUCCCAUAGUCGCCUUUGACUGGACUUAACCGUCCGGGGGUCCUUUGCCUUUUUUACCUUAUGUGGAAACAAACAGAGGUGGUGAUCCUUACAAUCACUCCUUCUCAUAGUGCAAAUGGGGACAGUACAUCACGGUAGAAGAAUCUGCAAAGUGCUCUUUUUUUCUGCUUUCGGCUUGGUUCACACAUUUAGGCCAUGAACUUACGGUGCGGCAGAGAGAGAUUUCUGCUGCACCCAGGCCCCUGCUGGCUCCUUUGGGUCACUGUGGAAAGAGGCAACUUUUUCUUCAUUCUCUCUUCCAUGCCACCCUUAAUUCCUAUUGAGCACAAAGGCAGGGAAAUUAAUUUCCAGUCUGGUAUGGCUUCAGGGCUGAUCCAGUUAGGGGAAUGGGGAAGUUUUGGAUCCUGUGGAUCCCAGGGCGCUCUGUGUCAGGGCUUGAGAUUGUGGCUUUUUCUAAAGCUGGUGUCAGGCAGAGGAAUGGUGGGAGGAAGCAGCUGGGGAGCCACUAAGGUAUGCUUGUCCCCUCUUCCCUCCCAGUCCCUUUUCCUUUUGUGUUGUGUCUUUUAUACAGAGAGCACUGAUAUUUGUAAGCCAGUUUAGGUGCCUUUGGGGGGGGUGGGGUGGAAGAGCAGGGUAAAGAAUAAAAUAAUAUUUUUUAAAGGUGUACCAUUCUUACGUCAGGAUUUGCCUAAUGAACUCCAUCAGCAGAAGCCCUGGGCAAGGCCUUUCACUUGCGCAACAGGGCUUUCCCCUGUGCCCCCCUGUAUUGGCUGGGGAUGUGUUUCGUGAGACCCCUAGAACAUGAAAGGGAAGAGGGGAGGGGGGGUUGUUCCAUCUGGUAAACUGACAUGCUUGCACAGACAGAACAUUCAACAUAGCGCGACCUUGAGUUUCACAUAAAGCAUGCACAUUUCUAAGGAAUUCAGCUGGAAAUACUUGCAACUUUUAAACAUGACUGGUCCAGUCAUACCGUAUGUUUCCCAAUUAAAUUCAGUCCAGAACCAAGUUGCACCUUACUGGUUUCUUUACAUUUAUAUAAUGCCAUUUGGGAUUCCUUUAAAUGCUGACGGGGAUCGCGGACCGUUCUACUGGAGCCAGCCGAUCUUCUCAUGCUUUCCACUUGAGUUGCAUUUGAAACUCUUUGAGGACUCCUCAAGAGUUUCAAAAGCACUUUCCCAUGUGUUGAAAGAAAAUGCCCAUAAAAUUCAAGAGCGAAGUG